AUGGUCAUUGCUAACCGCUUUUGGUCCCAAAUCUUUGGUGUUGCUUUUUCCAAUAAACGUUGGUUACAUUUCUUUAUGCUAUUUGUACCCGUCACCAGUUUAUGAAUGAGUGCUAUUGGCGUAGUACGCAUCUGGGAAAGCUUUGCGGAAAGCAGCCAACAUCGCAUCGAAUGA
rnacentral:rRNA from 1 species